rnacentral:rRNA from 1 species
GAGUUUGAUCCUGGCUCAGGAUGAACGCUAGCGGCAGGCCUAACACAUGCAAGUCGAGGGGCAGCAUGGCGUAGCGAUACGCUGAUGGCGACCGGCGCACGGGUGCGUAACGCGUAUGCAACCUGUCCGGCGCAGGGGGGUAGCCCGUCGAAAGGCGGGGUAAUCCCGCAUGAACCGGUAUUCCCGCGUGGGGGUGCCGGCAAAGUGGAGACGCGGGGCCGGAGGGGCAUGCGUGCCAUUAGCUGGCUGGUGGGGUAACGGCCCACCAGGGCGAUGAUGGCUAGGGGGUCUGAGAGGAUGGUCCCCCACACUGGUACUGAGACACGGACCAGACUCCCACGGGAGGCAGCAGUGAGGAAUAUUGGUCAAUGGGCGGAAGCCUGAACCAGCCAUGCCGCGUGCAGGAAGGAGGCCCUACGGGUUGUAAACUGCUUUUACCCGGGAAGAAACCGCCCCCUGUGGGGGGCGUUGCCGGUACCGGGGGAAAAAGGAUCGGCUAACUCCGUGCCAGCAGCCGCGGUAAUACGGAGGAUCCGGGCGUUAUCCGGAAUUACUGGGUUUAAAGGGUGCGUAGGCGGGGCUUUAAGCCGGCGGUGAAAUGCAGCGGCUCAACCGCUGGAAUGCCGUUGGGACUGGGGCUCUUGGAUACGGUCGGGGCGGGUGGAACUCGUGGUGUAGCGGUGAAAUGCAUAGAUAUCACGAGGAACGCCGGUAGCGAAGGCAGCUCGCCGGGCCGGUAUUGACGCUGAGGCACGNAAGCGUGGGGAUCGAACAGGAUUAGAUACCCUGGUAGUCCACGCCGUAAACGAUGAUGGGCUGGGUGUUGGCGAUAGACGGUCAGCGGCUGAGGGAAACAUUUAAGCAUCCACCUGGGGAGUAC